rnacentral:rRNA from 1 species
GACGAACGCUGGCGGCGUGCCUAACACAUGCAAGUCGAACGGAAGCGCCCUGUUCUUGCACUGGUCAAGCUAGGGGCGCACGGGUGAGUCACACGUGGAUCACCUGCCUAUCAGUGGGAUAUAACCUUGGGGAACGGAUGAUAACACCGCAUAGGUCUUCGAACCACGGGGUUGGUUGGAGAAAUGAGGCGCACGCGUCUGGAGUUGGGGGGUAUCAGCUUGUUGGUGGGGUUGGGGCAGACCAAGGCUCUGACGCGUCGCCGAGCUGAGAGGGUGAUCGGCCACAUUGGAACGGAGACACGGCCCAUACUCCUACGGGAGGCAGCAGUAGGGAAUCUUCCGCAAUGGACGCAAGUCUGACGGAGCAACGCCGCGUGUGUGAAGAAGGUGUUCGGAGCGUAAAACUCUGUUGUUAGUGAAGAACAGGUGCUAGAUGAACUGUUAGCGGCUUGACGGUAUCUAAUCAGAAAGCAACGGCUAACUACGUG